rnacentral:lncRNA from 1 species
AUGAAUGUCCUAGUGGAUUGAAAACACGAAAGGACGGUCCAGGAAAAAGUUAGAGACAUAAACAAAAAAUAAUCGUCCCGGUAGAUUGAACCCGAAAGAGAAAUAUAGGCAGAAGUUAGGGAUUAUGACAAGUAACUGCAUCAGGCCAGACUUGAUCACUUGAAGCAACAAUGUCUAUCACAGGUUCCCUUUCCGUCAUCCUCGACCGAAGUUCUGAACAUAG